rnacentral:lncRNA from 1 species
UGUUUGUUAUACUUUGCAUUUACCCAAAAAGGAAAGCAGGAAGAAUUAGAUAAAGCGCGUUUCCAAUUUAAGGGGGCUCCUGUGUAUAAAUCAAUUUUUUUUUAAUAUAGGAUUUCGCUAUAUUUUUUUAUAAAUGAACUUUAUCAUAUACUUAAGAGAAAAAUGAAAUAAAAAAAUGGGGUCACCGUUCAUUUAAGCUCACAAUCUGCCUCCGGAAGAAGCAUACAUUUUUGUUAAUGUCCUUUUUUUUCUGUUGAACUAAUAGGAGAAAUAGAGGUGAUAUCGAAAUAAAAAAAUAACCUAAUUACAAAAAUCGCUUAAUUUUACAAUUAUUUAGUUUAUGUACAGCUUAU